rnacentral:rRNA from 1 species
UGGGGAAUAUUGGACAAUGGGCGCAAGCCUGAUCCAGCCAUGCCGCGUGAGUGACGAAGGCCUUAGGGUUGUAAAGCUCUUUCGGCGGGGAAGAUAAUGACGGUACCCGCAGAAGAAGCCCCGGCUAACUCUGUGCCAGCAGCCGCGGUAAUACAGAGGGGGCAAGCGUUGUUCGGAAUCACUGGGCGUAAAGCGCACGUAGGUGGAUAGUUAAGUUCGGGGUGAAAUCCCAGGGCUCAACCCUGGAACUGCCUCGGAUACUGGCUAUCUCGAGUCCGGAAGAGGUGAGUGGAAUUCCUAGUGUAGAGGUGAAAUUCGUAGAUAUUAGGAAGAACACCGGUGGCGAAGGCGGCUCACUGGUCCGGUACUGACACUGAGGUGCGAAAGCGUGGGGAGCAAACAGGAUUAGAUACCCCGUAGUCCCUGAGCGGGCUGGCAAGGCGCAU